UAGUCAAACUAUCUGUAGGUAAGCUAAACACAACUUGGUGAAAACGGUUCUGUCAGUUAAAACUAUCAUUUAGUUAAGUUAACAGCGGUUAAGGUUAAUAUCAACCGUGCAUUGAGAAAACGGCCUUUAACAUGUUGAUAUCGAAUUUUCCAAUAGAGAUGAUACGAUUUCUAAGUAUCGUUUUGGCCAUUUCAAUAUGUCAUGAUCUAUAAUUUUUUUACAUUGUAUUCAGUAAUGUUUACAAUUUUAUCAUGAAAAGAUAUACGGAAGAACAAAGUUUGCAACAGUUGAUAAUGUGGUGUGGUUUUAAGUCUGGUGGAGUCAUCGGUCCGUAUUUCAUUUGAAAUGAAGCUUGUGACACAGUUACUGUCAGUGGAGGGCAGUAUAGAUCGAUGAUAACCAACUUUUUAUUGCCGCAAUUUGAAGUUGAUCUUGACGACAUCUGCUUCCAACAAGAUAGGGCUACGUUUUAGAUUCCAUAAUUUCAAGAAAUUGUGACAUUGAAUGGCCUCCAAGAAGUUGUGAUUUAACACCAUUAGACUACUUCUUGUGAAGUUAUUUGAAGUUAUUGGUCUUUAGCAAUAAACCAGACUCUCUUCCAGUCAAAAUACUGCACUUCGUACUAUAACAGAAGAUGAGCUCGAGUUGCCUCGUGAAUCUACACUCAUUGCAAUACCGUGGAACGUUUUGUGGGCCCACCGUCAGAUGAUUUUAAUGACAAGUAACUUACUCCAUGUCAGCUAGACGCGUAUGUUUGAGGUCAAGAAAUUUGAUAGAGAUAACAAAAAUGUACAAAAAGUAAUGAAAAAGUAGAAAAUUUACGAAAAAAAUUCGCAAUGGCUGCAAAAUAUUCUACACCAAACUCAUGUUAAUUUUCGUGGAACGAAGUAUAGCAAAGCAUUUUGAAGCGUAGCUGUAAUGUCACAUAUUCCCCCAUACACAAAAUAUUUGUUGUGUAGCUGUAAUGUUACUCGUACAUAUUCACACUUACACUUCGCUGAUAUUUCUGUUUCUGCAAUGAUGUGCUCUUGUGCUCUUACAUAUUUCUUUCUUGUUUCUUUUAUUUCUUCAAAAUCGGAGAAGUAACAUAAGUGUGUCCUUAUAAAAAACAGCUGAGAAGUUCUGCGCCCCACCGUGUAUCAUACUGUGAUUUACCCCUAUUCCAAGACUGUCAAGUUUUGCGGUUGGACGGCAUAGUAUUCCUCCCGCCCUUGUCACUUAAUUGAAUCGAAUAUGGUACUCGUAUAUCCAUCUAUAGCUGGAAAUACUUUGGUUACACACCCUUUCUGCCAUUUGCUUCGGAACUGAAUAUCAUCGCAAAUUAGUACCAAUUAUUUAUCUUUCCAUUUCUGACGAAGCGGUAACUGUGGUAAACAGUGUUGUAUUCUUUAUUUCCAGAAUCUAUACUUGAAAUGCUGAGCUUUCAUUCUUCUUUUACGUGUUUAGUUCUCUUUUUAAAAUUUCGAAUUGCACUGUUUUCACUAUGUAAGUAUGUCUCGACCUCGGCUAGUUCUUCAAAGUCUAAUGAAAUGCCUAGGUUGACCCUGCCGCGGUAGUUUUGCUUCCGACAGAGCUUUAAGAAAAUUUUAACUGCUCAUUGAACCUAAGCCAACACCCGCUUUAGCUUUGAAAAUGAAAAAAUUAUUUACCUCAGGAUGUUUAUAUUAGGACCUCAGGAAUUCGGAACCUCAUAGCCAUGCGUUAAAUCGCAAUCGAAUUAAAAUAUUCGGCAAUGAUUUCAUGGUAAUACGGCUGGAAAUACUACCGUUGAUGUGUUUUGCAAAAACUUAAGAUGGGCGUUAUCGACUUUUUUAAAUGAUUGUACCGGCAAAUCUACGACUAAUAUCGAGGUUGUCUUUCGACGAUUCUUCUGUUGUGAACUUUUGUCCAUGCCACUAGAGUGUUAACGGCUUUCUACGACCUUUGAUACCUAGACGGACGGACGGACGGACAGACAGUCACCCGGAUUUCAACUUGUCUCUUCAUCCUGAUCAUUUAUAUAUACAUAACCCUAUAUCUAACUCGAUUAGUUUUAGGUGAUACAAACAACCGUUAGCUGAACAAAACUAUUAUACUCUGUAGCAACAGGUUGCGAGAGUAUAAAAAGUAAGCAUGUGUUGUACUUGAUGUUGCAGUGCACCUCAGCAGGUCUCUGAUCCACACAACAAACGCCCACCCAAAAAUAUUGCUAAUGAUAUCUUAUAAAUAAAAAAUGAAAAUAUUACUAUAGCUAUUCGUUAUGUAAUCAGAGAAUGUCCGAACCACAGCACGGAAAGACUUGAAAAUUUGCACAGCUAUUCAUUUAUUCCUGCAAAAGGUCCUAAGACCUUUUUGGCAAAAUCGCAGUCGAUUUCGUAAAUACAUUCGAUGAAUAUUGAACGAAACAUUACUAUAUGAUUAGACAUAGGGCAUGCGACGCCCCCGCUUCAGCUUUCCUCUUGCACCGUUGUACACUAUAUCUCCUAUGUACAGUCGGUAAGUUAUAGGUAAGACAGGGUGCUGAUGUUCAUUACGCCUGAACUAUUACAGUACAAUAUAUUUGUGAUAGUAUUUUAAUCGUAAUCUUUGAAGUUUGUUAUUGUGUACUUAGAAGCGUUUAUUUAUUUGUUGUGAUAAAUUGUAUUAUAUAAAUUAAUUACAUCUUAGCCAAUAAUGAUAGAAUACAAGAUUACGCCAGCCGCCAUCUUGCGGCGUAAUUCUUUUGAGUUGAGAAGAAAAAGCAUGAAAAACUAUCAAUGACCCUAAAAAUUGUAAACAAAGGAGUAAACACUUUUUUAAUUCGUGAAAUAAGCAUAUAGGCAAUUCACAAUCUUUGUCGUAUGUCUUAUGUCGUAUUUCAAUUGUUUUUAAAAAUACGAGACUUAUGAACACCCCUUAAUCGUUGUAUGUCAUUUUCUGUAAUAUUUCUACACUACAGCUGAUAGUAAAAAAUUAAGAAUAGAAAAAUGGCACGAGAAAGGGACAAAAAUAAAAUUAUGGAUUUUUGAUGUGAAAACCUUGCACUGACUUUAUUAGAAGUUGAAUCAAGUGAGAAAGAAGACGAAGCCAUUGAAAAUUUUUCAAUCAGCAUGAGUUCUUUGCUGAGAAACCGAAGAAGCAAUGCGAAAUGUGUUAAGCAAUCUUGGCUAAAGCAAAUUCAAUCAGAUACUUUGUGUUCACCCGGAGGAAUGCGAAUCUUAGAAUUAAUUAAAAAUUACGCUGUUUUUAAAACAAGUUUUAGUGCUACCCAACUUCUAAUCGAAUAGCAACUCAAAAUAGUGCCAUAUCGGUUGGGAUCUUCCGACGAUGAACAAUCUGUUCACAAAGUGGCUUCCUUAGUCCGUGUGGAUAAUGGAGGCACUAUUAAAAAUGUAACCCAACGCCUUUUUUAAAACCAUAUUGCGAUUAAAAAAUGAGUUUUAUACUGGCCCAAUGAGAGAGGAAAGCUGGAGAUUGCAUCUACAACUGCCAAAGAAAUGCCAAGGUGGGUAGGCUACUUCGAUGGUUCCGAAAUAAAAUUAGCCGAAACUCCAGUUAUGCAGCAUAAAAUUUACUAUUCGCGUAAACGUCAAUAUUCUGUAAAAAUACAAGCGAUUUGCGACUAUACAUUCCACAUUAGGCAAGUAACGAUUGGUAUAAAAGUAAUAAGGUUUAAUAAUGCUAAAUGUUAUGAAAUUUUUAAAAUAAAUAUUUUAGAGUUUCUUAUUUUUAUUCUUAUUAAUCAUUCUUCAAAAUAUUUCUAUUAUUCUAUUACAUACCAUUUGAAACCGACGCCCUUGCAACAAUGAAAAGAAUUUGAAUGAAAAGGUUAAAAGUUACGAUAACAGCAUACAUGAUGGAAUCAAUUAGGAUAGAAUGCAAGAUUUGCCAGCCGCCAUCUUGAGACGAAAUUCUUUUGAUCUAAGAAGAAGAAACUUACAAGUAGAACAGUAUAUGAGUUCUAAACAAAAACUUAAACACUUUUGUUAAUUCGAAAAAUGUACUUACAUUAUUUGUUUAUAGUAAAACAUUCGUUGGUAAACAAAUACUUGAUUUUAUUCGCCAAAGAAAAAAAAUAUCAAUAUAAGUACACCGUUAAGUGCUAAAGUCUUCGAGCUCCGAGGAUCUCAUAUAUGCAGUGAUACGAAUAUGAUAUGAUAUGAGUGCAAUAUAUUCUACUGCACAUAUAAUUCCUUUGAUUGAAAUUGGCGAUAUCAGCUUGAGUAAAUGAAAAAUAUCCAACGGAAAAGAACUUGUCAUUGCAACGAUCUACAUAUCUCAUAAUAAAAACUUGAGGAUAUCAGCAGGGGUGAUGAUCACAUACCAUGAACUCUCGGUAGUCACUUUAAUAUAAAUUUUGCGGAUAUUGCGUCCUUGCCACUACUUCACUUUCUUCGUGAAAAACUCGGUAUAGAUAUGAAUAACGACCGGAAAGUUGCCGCGACUAAAUCAGGAAGAACGAACUCUAUUCACUAGAAAUUGCACUAUUUAGAAUCAUGAACAUAUGUUUCAUACUUCAGUUACCAUAAAGGCAUAAUAUUCGCUAUAGCUAUACCUGCUCCGACAGAAUAUAAUGUACAAAUUCAGGAAAUAAAAUAAAUAUUAAAUUUGUGUAACAAAUAUUAUUAUUUCGAUUAUCCCUGUAAUAUGUACAAUAUAACUCUUUUUCUCACUCUCACUCUCAAUGAACCGAUAAAAAGUAUUCACUUCUAUCAUGUGUAUUUUCCGAGGUGCCUUUCGGUAAUGCUCAAAGGACUAUGUUUAUAUUUGAGCCCAAUAUAUUGCUAAGAACACAGCACUUUAUGUUAACUUUAUUAGGUAGCACCCACACGAUGGCUAAAAUAAAAAUGCGCAUGUAAUUCGAAUGUUAACUUUAGUUUAUUGUGGAAAUUGAAUUUGGCAUUUAUUUUGUAUAAUUAAAUUCGAAAAUAUAUAUAUGUAAAUACAAUUUGAAACGGAAACGAUCGCUGGAUUUACAUAGCGCAACAAAGUUCAUGAUCCAAACAGAACUUUAUAAAACGAAUUGAUGUUGCGCGUAGCUGUCGAGUUAGCGCCUAGGAUGUUGAUAUCCGUGUAUGUAAUAUGGCCAUGUGUGGUGAUAUCCGUGUAUGGUGUGAUUGUGAGUAGUGUUCCCAGGUGUGGUGGGUUGCUUUAGGGUGCGCCAGUUUUUUUCAAAGUAGGUGGUGUGUAAAUUAAGGGGGAAACUUCGCUCAUUUAAGCAUCUGGUUAGCAACUGUCUGUCACUUGAGUUUUGGUUAGAGUGUUUUGGUAAGUUCCCAACCAGCACAAGAAAUGACAGCUGUCAUUCUCUUGUCGCUUAUUAAACAAAAGUAGUAAUAAUAUUUAAAUUUUCCAACAUAGUGUUAAUAACUUUUUAAAACCGAGCUUGUGCAGCCAUGAAAAGAAUUUGAAAAUGAAAUAGAAUGCUUGGUGUAGCAGCGAGCUAUUACUGGAAAAGAAAGAGCGUGCCACCCGAGAACGAGCGGCACUGUGUCUUCGUCUUUUCUGAUCGGUUCCUUGUCUACGGUUUGGGCGACAAAACGAGCCUUGUGUGAACAUUCACAUACAUAACUCAUGGCGUUAACACAGUUUUUGUAUGUUCACAAUGCAAAUUUUCUGAACUGUUUUUCCCACGCAUUCACACACACUCACAAUAGUCAAACUAUCUGUAGGUAAGCUAAACACAACUUGGUGAAAACGGUUCUGUCAGUUAAAACUAUCAUUUAGUUAAGUUAACAGCGGUAAGGUUAAUAUCAACGUGCAUGAGAAAACGGCCUUUAACAUGUUGAUAUCGAAUUUUCCAAUAAGAUGAUACGAUUUUAAGUAUCGUUUGGCCAUUUCAUAAUGUCAUGAUCUAUAAUUUUUCAUUGUAUUCAGUAAGUUUACAAUUUUAUCAUGAAAAGAUAUACGGAAGAACAAAGUUUGCAACAGUUGAUAAUGUGGUGUGGUUUUAAGUCUGGUGGAGUCAUCGGUCCGUACUUCAUUUGAAAUGAAGC